AGCCUGAUGCAGCAACGCCGCGUGAGGGACGACGGCCUUCGGGUUGUAAACCUCUUUUAGCAGGGAAGAAGCGAAAGUGACGGUACCUGCAGAAAAAGCACCGGCUAACUACGUGCCAGCAGCCGCGGUAAUACGUAGGGUGCAAGCGUUAUCCGGAAUUAUUGGGCGUAAAGAGCUCGUAGGCGGUUUGUCGCGUCUGCUGUGAAAUCCCGAGGCUCAACCUCGGGUCUGCAGUGGGUACGGGCAGACUAGAGUGCGGUAGGGGAGAUUGGAAUUCCUGGUGUAGCGGUGGAAUGCGCAGAUAUCAGGAGGAACACCGAUGGCGAAGGCAGAUCUCUGGGCCGUAACUGACGCUGAGGAGCGAAAGGGUGGGGAGCAAACAGGCUUAGAUACCCUGGUAGUCCACCCCGUAAACGUUGGGAACUAGUUGUGGGGUCCAUUCCACGGAUUCCGUGACGCAGCUAACGCAUUAAGUUCCCCGCCUGGGGAGUACGGCCGCAAGGCUAAAACUCAAAGGAAUUGACGGGGACCCGCACAAGCGGCGGAGCAUGCGGAUUAAUUCGAUGCAACGCGAAGAACCUUACCAAGGCUUGACAUAUACGAGAACGCUGCAGAAAUGUAGAACUCUUUGGACACUC
rnacentral:rRNA from 1 species